UAGGGAAUAUUGGUCAAUGGACGGAAGUCUGAACCAGCCAUGCCGCGUGCAGGAAGACGGCCUUCUGGGUUGUAAACUGCUUUUAUCAGGGAAGAAAAAGAUCUUGCGAGAUCAAUUGCCGGUACCUGAAGAAUAAGCACCGGCUAACUCCGUGCCAGCAGCCGCGGUAAUACGGAGGGUGCGAGCGUUGUCCGGAUUUAUUGGGUUUAAAGGGUGCGUAGGCGGCUUGUUAAGUCAGUGGUGAAAGGUAUCAGCUUAACUGAUGACGCGCCAUUGAAACUGACGGGCUUGAGUACAGACGAGGUAGGCGGAAUUUAUGGUGUAGCGGUGAAAUGCAUAGAUACCAUAAAGAACACCGAUAGCGAAGGCAGCUUACUAGACUGAGACUGACGCUGAGGCACGAAAGCGUGGGGAGCGAACAGGAUUAGAUACCCCCGUAGUCC
rnacentral:rRNA from 1 species